AAAAAACGAAAACAGGGUCUAUUUGCACCCAUUUAAAACAGAAAUGAAAGUCAUGGCAUACCUAUAUUCAUUGAACUAGAGAUUUCGAGAAGAGAGUUUGGAAUUUGCAUUUAUAUUUCUUUAAAUUUUUUUAUAUCGAGGUAAGAUACUUUAUGUGCAAAGUGUUUUCGUUUCCUUAUACUCUUAUAUGCAAUUAAAUAGCAUGGAUUGCUAGUGGACCUUCGGGUUCUUUAAAAAGAGAGAUGGAAUCGUACGGGAUAUAAGAGGACCUAAGAUGGGUGUAUCGCUUGAUCACCAGUAUACUCCAUAAGAGUAAAGUGGUAUGAAAUGUAGAUUUUAUUGUUAUGUUAAUUAUGUAUGGAAGCU
rnacentral:lncRNA from 1 species